CUGGAGGCGGUCGAGCAUCGACAGCGUAGUGGUCAGGCAGAGCUGGAGGUGGUCGACCGUUGACAGCUCGAUGGUUGAGCAGAGAUGGAGGCGAUCGACAAUGCGACGGUCGGAUGGAGCAGGAGGAGGGCGGUCGGGCAGAGAUUUGGCAGGGCAAAGCCCUCUCAGCUUUUUAAUUUUUAAUUUUUCUUUUAAACGGAUUGCCG
rnacentral:lncRNA from 1 species